rnacentral:misc_RNA from 1 species
UUGAUGGUUCAUCUCGGAGAGUGUUAAAUUCCACCUUUGUCGAGUUCCCUCGUCCAGUUAAUGUUAUGCUUCAUUCAAAUCUGAAAAUAUGUAAUCCGCACCGAAAACCUCCCGAUGACCCGUGAAUCCUUUCGGAGCUGACUCCUUCCAAUUAAUUGGAAUCUCUUCUUAAGUAUGUAAUUCGCGUGCCAGUACACGUAAUUAUAAACUAAGGGCCACUGUAAAGAAGAUUAUUUCACUGACUGGUUGUGCAAAAAUGAAUCUGUUAUGAAAGUCGACAGGUAAGGGUUGAAGUCUGGUCGGACCGUAUUAUUAUUCUUUCCAUUCCGAUUGAAAGCUGCAUCGUAAGAAAAUGUAUAGAACAUGUGCCAGAAUUCUUUUGCAUCCUGGGUUAGCUGACCGAGGCUCCCUUUACUGAUCUGAACACUGGUGGAAAAUAAUGAAGGAUAAAAUGCCACCAUUUCGCAGGAAAAAAUCUGGAAAGUCAUUUCCCGUCAAGGUCUGCACAUUGGAUGCGGAGCUCGAGUUUAAUCUGGAGUGGAGAGCUACGGGAAGGGAUUUAUUUGACUUGGUCUGCCGCACGAUAGGACUUAGAGAAACAUGGUAUUUUGGGCUUCAGUAUGAAGAUGCAAAAGGUUUUAUAUCAUGGCUCAAAUUGGACAAGAAAGUUCAAGAUCAAGGUAUUUCGCAACAGCCCACAACACCUUUCAUGUUCCUUGCCAAAUUUUAUCCAGAGGAUGUUGCGGAGGAACUAGUUCAAGAAGUCACUCAGCACUUAUUUUUUCUCCAAGUGAAGCAGGCCAUUCUUUCAAUGGACAUAUAUUGUCCUCCAGAAGCUUCUGUCUUAUUAGCAUCAUAUGCUGUUCAAGCAAAGUAUGGAGACUAUGAUGAAGUUUCCUACCGUCCUGGAAUGCUAGCUAGUGAAGACUUACUACCACAGAGAGUUAUCGAUCAAUACCAAAUGACUCCUGAAAUGUGGGAAGACAGGAUAAAAAUAUGGUAUGCCGAUCAUCGUGGAAUGUCUCGCGAUGAAGCAGAAAUGGAAUACCUUAAAAUAGCUCAGGACCUUGAAAUGUACGGUGUUAAUUACUUUCCAAUUAGUAAUAAAAAGGAAACCAAUCUUUGGCUCGGCGUAACGGCACUUGGAUUAAAUAUUUAUGAGAAGGAGAACAAGCUGACUCCGAAGACUACGUUCACCUGGUCCGAGAUCCGUCACAUUAGCUUCGACGACAAGAAGUUUGUGAUAAAGCCUGUGGAGAAGGCUUCCCCUAACUUCGUCUUCUUCUCUCAGAAAGUUCGCAUGAACAAAUUGGUAAAAAAACAGUCAGAUGUUGGCAGCUGGGUGAAGGGCUUGGUAUCUGUAGGCUUCGACGAGCAUAACACUGAGAAAGUUGCUCGUGUAUUAUUUGUUAAGAUUCUGGACCUGUGUAUCGGCAACCACGAUCUGUUCAUGCGGCGACGUAAGCCUGACUCGAUGGAAGUUCAACAGAUGAAGGCGCAAGCUAAGGAAGAAAAAUCUCGGAGGCAAAUUGAAAGGAAUAAAUUGGCCCGAGAGAAGCAGUUGCGAGAAGCUGCAGAAAGAGAAAAAGCUGCCAUGGAACAGAGAUUGUUACAAUAUCAAGAAGAAAUACGAUUGGCGAACGAGGCUUUGAGACGAUCCGAAGAAACAGCUGAUCUCCUUGCCGAAAAAAGUCGGGUGGCAGAGGAGGAAGCUCUCUUACUAAGUCAAAAGGCGUCAGAAGCUGAGCAGGAAAUAACACGGAUUAGGUUAAAUAACAUGAAGACAGAAGAGGAGAAGGUUCAUUUAGAAAGGAAGACUCGUGAGGCAGAAUUGCUAACCGAGAGGCUCGUACAGGAGUCAGAGAGAAGAGCUGCGGAAGCUGAGAAAUUGAAGGACGAGCUUCUACGUGCAAGGAUUGCUGAAAAGGAAGCGAAAGAAAAACUCUUAGAAUUCCUUAGCAGAAAUGCCUACACUGCUGCAAUAGCUCCCGUACCAAAUCUCUUCCCUUCGACACAAGUGCUUCCAUCAGAGCUGCAAGCAGACUUGCAGACUCUACAGUUAGAUGCCGAGCCACUGCCUACAGAUCUUACAUCAUACGAUCUGAUAGCCGAUGGAGAUGUCGACCAACUGUCCCUAGAAAUUGAGAAGGAACGAGUGGACUAUUGGGAAAAGAGCAAGCACUUACAAGAACAGUUGAGAGAACUAAGAUCGGAGAUCGAAGUGAUGAAGGUCGGUGAGAAACAAUGCGAACUGGAUCAGCUUCAUGACGAGCAGGUGCGACUCGGGGAGAACAAGUAUAGCACGCUUAAGCGAGUUAAGUCAGGCUCUACGAAAGCUAGAGUCGCCUUUUUCGAAGAACUUUAAGGACUGCGACAUGCGACCGAUGGUCGACGUCUAGGAGGUUAGGUCGAAACGUGGCAGAACGCACAUAUAUUUUCAUGUACGUUGCGUGUAUCAUGACCUGCAUCUGUAUGAAAUUUAUAUAUAUACAUAUAGAGAAAGAGAGUAAAAUCGUAUACGUGGACUCGUGCACUCGAAUGUGUACAUACGUUCCUCGACUGCAGUAGUGUGUACGAAAGGAUGACUUAGAACUAGGUUAGGAGACAAUCAUUGUUAUACCAGUUACUUUGUUAGGGAAGAUUUCAUCGCGUUAAACGAAUCGACGCGCAUAGAGGCGAGGCGAAAUGUGAUUGGUGAUUCUGUUAUGUCAACAAUGAAAAUGAAAAACCCAGUUACAAGUUCGAGGCGUGUCGUGGCGCGACAUUUGCAUACUCGAGCAGUGAUUCAACUUCAUUUCUGUUUACUCUGGAGCUCGCGCACUCGCGAUGGCGGUACCACCUACCAGUCGCCAUUGGCGGCUCACGUACAUACAAUGCUCAUCUCUGACAAUAUUAAUGCAUGGUCCACCCCCUGCCCCUGCUAUUGCUCGUAAACCUGG